rnacentral:tRNA from 1 species
GUAGGCAUAGUUAAAAGAUGACGACAGGCUGUGACUCUGUAAUUAGAGGUUAAACCCCUCUUGCCCACCG